UAAGCGGAGGAAAAGAAACUAACAAGGAUUCCCUUAGUAGCGGCGAGCGAAGCGGGAUGAGCUCAAAUUUGAAAUCUGGCGUCUUUCAGGCGUCCGAGUUGUAAUCUAUAGAAGCGUUUUCUGUGCUGGACCAUGUCCAAGUCCCUUGGAACAGGGUAUCAAAGAGGGUGACAAUCCCGUACUUGACAUGACCACCAGUGCUCUGUGAUACGUUUUCGACGAGUCGAGUUGUUUGGGAAUGCAGCUCAAAAUGGGUGGUAAAUUCCAUCUAAAGCUAAAUAUUGGCGAGAGACCGAUAGCGAACAAGUACCGUGAGGGAAAGAUGAAAAGCACUUUGGAAAGAGAGUUAAACAGUACGUGAAAUUGUUGAAAGGGAAACGAUUGAAGUCAGUCGUGUCUAUUGGUUUCAGCCGGUUCUGCCGGUGUAUUACCCUUAGACGGGUCAACAUCAGUUUUGGACGGCACAUAAGAGCAGUUUGAAUGUAGCACCUCCGGGUGUGUUAUAGCUUUCUGUUGCAUAUGCUGUCCGAGACUGAGGACUGCAGCUCGCCUUUUAGGCCGGGGUUCGCCCACGUUCGAGCUUAGGAUGUUGACAUAAUGGCUUUAAACGACCCGUCUUGAAACACG
rnacentral:rRNA from 1 species